AACCUGUCAAAUGGUGAUGGCUUCCCUGAACCAUCUGCUCCAGCAGAUCAUCAGCCAUCACAUGGCUGCAGGCACCAGGAGCAGCUUGCUGAGGUUCCAUGGUAGCCCCUCACUCUCAGGCAUUUCCCUGGCAGCCCCUCUUCUUGCUGCCUUUGGGAAAUACCUGUUACUUCACCCUCUACCACCCAGCAAGCUAAGUAUGUGAGGGAGGUUUCUCAGCCAAUGCCCUCCAACAGCUGUGGGGCCACAAGCACUCCUUGGGGGACAUCUCAUCUCACCUCAGCCCAGCCAGCUGCUGGUGGUGGCCACUGUGAAGAGCUUUCAGGGCCUCUCUAAAGACCAGAGGAGAGAGAGACCAAGAUCAGGGAGUGACAGAAGUCUGUCCAGGCUUCCUUCUGACAUGAUGAACAUGCUGCUGGAAGACUGCCUUCAGAGGAAACAGUGUUUGGGUUUGUACCCAAAGAGCAGGUCUGUGCCUCUGAAGAAAUGGGGAAGGAUGCUGUAAAAAGUGCUACAAAUGUUGCAGAGGAGGAGCAGAGCACGUGAAGGUCUCCAGCCAUCCUGCAGGAGUGAGGGGCUGGUGCAAACCAAGCCCUGAGAACAGGCUCAGAAGUGCCAGACUUAUUCUUCUACCCACCCUCACUUCCCCUGCACUCCACCUGGAGCAGAGACAAUGCAGGCAAUUUGAGGCAGCUCCACUUGAGCAGGGAUGUUCCUUACCACAUCCCAGAGACAGUAGGUUUAGAGGGUGCCAGAGAAUAUUUACCCAAUGUGUUUACUAUUGCUGGCCCUUCACAGCCCAUCUCACCAGCCAUGCCCUGGUUGAGGCCCCAUCUCUACAUCCAGUAUCAGGCAUCAGGUGCCCUCUGUCCUCUGAAAAGGGAUCUCCAGCCAACAAAGAAGGCCACAUGGCAGGUUCCUUUUUUGCUCUGCAGGUUGCGGUGAAAUGCUGUCCAAAGCAUAGGCAAAAAUGUUUAAAUCACUUCCACCAAAGAAUACAUUUUUCAUUGGCAUGGUGGUAGGAAAGACAUGGUAAUAGAAAUUUUGUAACUUUUUGCUCCUUCCUGCAAAGUGUAAGUGGUUCCUCAGACUCUGAUGGCAUUUUGGGUCUCUUUAACUGGCCUGUUCCCAGAAGUCCUGGUACAGCAGGACAGCUGUCAGAGGUCUAGCCCCAAGGCCUGCAGGGGAGGACAUUGCUGAAGCAGAAGCCAGUGUGCUUCCUGCUUCCCUGACUGCCGCACCACAAGCAGAUGGGCACAACUCAUACAGUGUAACCUUGACACAAGAUAAAGACCCUUGCCUAAGCACAUCCUUGGGGCUUCCAGUUGAUUCCAAAUGCACUUCUCCCAUGACUAACUUUCAUUUUCCAUCCAGGAAGCAAAGUCCAGAUGAAGCAAUAGAAUAUGGGCAUCAGAGACUCCUUGCCUAGACAAACAGUUUAUCCCAGGCACAGUCACCUGGUUUGGACACCCCCUCAACCCAUGGAAAACCACUAUGGAAAAUGCCACCUUAACCUAAGUCCAGAAGUUUUGAAAACUGAAGAUGACCUUGUUGGCUGUGUGCAAACACUUCCUUCCCAGUCCUGUCUGAGCAAGCAGCUACAGCAAAUAUCAAGAGUGAAUUCAUUUGCUGCAGCUAUCUGCCCUCUGCCUCCUAAUCCUUCAGGCUGUUGCUGCUUUAACCUGAGGCUGAAUGCUGAGAGGCUGGUGACCCACUUCCCAACACUGAAGGCACCAUGGAAAACAGGGUAGCUACAGUGCCCAGAAGCUCUGCUGAAGCUGAGUGCUGACAGCCAGAAGGCAGUAAGGACUGAAUACAAUCGCCUCUGAAAUGCACACUGUGCACUUCCCCUAGCAGAUGCUUCUGCCAUAGCUGUGUGACAAAACGUGCUCUUGACUCACUCCUCACAGGUGAAUACUGGCUCAGUGCUAUCAGCUUGUAUUUCUUCCUGCCAGAAGCCUCCAAGGGCCCUAUUAAGCAGGGGGCCGCUAGAGAAUAUUUUUCUGAGGAGCAGCUUUACAUAAGCAGCCUGUGUCACAUUGAUGAAAUUUUUACUUCUAUCCUUUUCUGGCUGGUCCUUUGGGCAUUUCAUGGUGCCUUCCUGAGGUCACUGGCACUGCUCUGCUGACUCCUACCUGGCAUGCUACUCCCUUGGCUGAGCUCAGCCUGCCCAAAAAACAACUUUAUCGACCAGGGUGCUCAUGUCAACUGCUAGGUGCAACUAGAUAAACUGCAGUUGUCAUUCCUUUACAAACUAUCAGAUGGUCAUUUUUUUGUACUCUUUUAUUUACUAUUAAAUAUCCAUUUCCAAGAAUA